CAGGUCGACGCGGGGCUUGGUUUCCGGCUUGGUCUACAAGUGAAAUCUGGUGACUUCUAACCUUCGCUUAUUUCAUUCUUCAUUCUACAUUCUUUCAUUCUUCGUAUUAUACUAGUAAUUGAGUAUAGUUUGGUUGCUGGAAUAUUUCUUUGAAUUUGUGUGAGCCUUGUAUUACUUGCUGCUGCUUUACUAUUACCAUCGUUUAUGUCUUUAUAUCUUUAUAUUAUCUUUAUAUUCUCUUAUACUUUCGCN
rnacentral:lncRNA from 1 species